CUUCUUCUUUUUUUUUUUUUUUAGUAGUUGAAGAAAAAGAAGAAGAAAGUCGGAUUUUCUUGAAGUUACGGACAACCGAAAUCAGCAGCAGCGCCGGCAGUAGAGCGGAGAACACCUUUAAAUGGAGCAGACAGAGGAGUGGAUAAAAUGACCACUUCAUCAUCGGGGCCAAAAAUACUGCUGCAGGCGGAUGGAGCGAAGAGUUGAGGCAGAAUUCCAUCUACAUGUUGCAUUUCUAUGUAAAAGUCACACAAGUUAAAAGAAGUCCUGUUCAAACACCAACGUACAAAUAUAAUAAUUUGAUC